AUUGAACGCUGGCGGCAUGCUUUACACAUGCAAGUCGAACGGUAACAGGCCGCAAGGUGCUGACGAGUGGCGAACGGGUGCGUAAUGCAUCGGAACGUGCCCAGUCGUGGGGGAUAACUACUCGAAAGAGUAGCUAAUACCGCAUACGAUCUAUGGAUGAAAGCGGGGGACCGUAAGGCCUCGCGCGAUUGGAGCGGCCGAUGUCAGAUUAGGUAGUUGGUGGGGUAAAGGCUCACCAAGCCAACGAUCUGUAGCUGGUCUGAGAGGACGACCAGCCACACUGGGACUGAGACACGGCCCAGACUCCUACGGGAGGCAGCAGUGGGGAAUUUUGGACAAUGGGCGCAAGCCUGAUCCAGCAAUGCCGCGUGCAGGAAGAAGGCCUUCGGGUUGUAAACUGCUUUUGUACGGAACGAAACGGCUCUGGUUAAUACCCGGGGCUAAUGACGGUACCGUAAGAAUAAGCACCGGUUAACUACGUG
rnacentral:rRNA from 1 species